rnacentral:rRNA from 1 species
CGGCAUGCCUUACACAUGCAAGUCGAACGGUAACAGGUCUUCGGAUGCUGACGAGUGGCGAACGGGUGAGUAAUACAUCGGAACGUGCCCGAUCGUGGGGGAUAACGAAGCGAAAGCUUUGCUAAUACCGCAUACGAUCUACGGAUGAAAGCGGGGGAUCUUCGGACCUCGCGCGGACGGAGCGGCCGAUGGCAGAUUAGGUAGUUGGUGGGAUAAAAGCUUACCAAGCCGACGAUCUGUAGCUGGUCUGAGAGGAUGAUCAGCCACACUGGGACUGAGACACGGCCCAGACUCCUACGGGAGGCAGCAGUGGGGAAUUUUGGACAAUGGGCGCAAGCCUGAUCCAGCCAUGCCGCGUGCAGGAUGAAGGCCUUCGGGUUGUAAACUGCUUUUGUACGGAACGAAAAGGUGCCUUCUAAUAAAGGGCGCUCAUGACGGUACCGUAAGAAUAAGCACCGGCUAACUACGUGCCAGCAGCCGCGGUAAUACGUAAGGUGCGAGCGUUAAUCGGAAUUACUGGGCGUAAAGCGUGCGCAGGCGGUUUUGUAAGACAGAGGUGAAAUCCCCGGGCUCAACCUGGGAACUGCCUUUGUGACUGCAAGGCUGGAGUGCGGCAGAGGGGGAUGGAAUUCCGCGUGUAGCAGUGAAAUGCGUAGAUAUGCGGAGGAACACCGAUGGCGAAGGCAAUCCCCUGGGCCUGCACUACGCUC